UCGAGGUCACUUCUUGAGGACCCACCCAGCUGCCUUCUGUGGCCUUGUAGGAUCCUGCUUGUGCAAAAUUUAACAGGAUCUGGACCACUGCUACUGUUAACUAAAUAUUGAUGAUGUCCGCAUAAACUAAUCAGAGUUUGUAAGGCGCUUUCGUGCGAUAUAUUAAAGUUCAUUGAGUAUCAUGAAAAAAUGUUAUUUUACACUGUAUGUGGGUUCUGCACCUGGAAUAUUCAUUCAAGUUUGCAUAUUUUUCCCACAACAAAUAGAGGUGGUUCAAGAAAAAACGACCCUUCUGUCUCAAGUAACGCAGGCCGGGAAGGGUAGAAACACGUGACAAGGACGAUCAAAGGACAAGAGGCAGUGGGCAGAAACUGAAGCACAGGAAGCUCCGCCUGACCGUGAGGGGGAAUUUCUUCCCUAUGAGAGUGACGGAGCACUGGAACAGGUUGCCCGGGGAGGUUGUGGAGUCCCCUUCUCUGGAGAUCUUCAAGGCCCGUCUGGAUGCAGCCCUGUCUACCAUGCUCUAGUGAUUUCUUUUCCUCGGGAGAAUUUAGAAACAGUGGACUGGCAAGAGGCACUCACAAAAGAAGACAUGUUUCUGUAGACUGCUCUGAAGAGUGGCUCUGAAGAGUGCUGAAGCAAAUAACUUUGGAAUUGCUUCAAAUCAAGUCCAAGCUGCCCCUCUGUCCCAUUCAGCUCCCUUCCUCUUCUCUUCUUUCCCUGAUAAAAAAUAAAAACUGGCCAGUGGGACCCCAGCUGGUCUUGCUAAUUUGUCUUAUGCAUGAGAUUGGCAAUAUAUUCCUACUUCUCAACUUUAAUAUUUGUUGCAAUAAAAUAUGAUAUGCAUAGCUCAUAUUGGCAAUACUGUUAUGUAUGUAACAUCUGU